rnacentral:rRNA from 1 species
UGAGGAAUAUUGCGCAAUGGAGGAAACUCUGACGCAGCAACGCCGCGUGAGUGAAGAAGGCUUUCGGGUUGUAAAGCUCUGUCAGGUGGGAAGAAACCUUUAUAGUUGAAUAGACUAUAAAACUGACGGUACCACCAAAGGAAGCACCGGCUAACUCCGUGCCAGCAGCCGCGGUAAGACGGAGGGUGCAAGAGUUGUUCGGAAUCAGUGGGCGUAAAGCGCGUGUAGGCGGCUUGACAAGUCGAAUGUGAAAGCCCGGGGCUCAACCCCGGAAGUGCAUUCGAAACUGGCAGGCUUGAGUACGGGAGAGGGAAGGGGAAUUCCUGGUGUAGAGGUGAAAUUCGUAGAUAUCAGGAGGAACACCGGUGGCGAAGGCGGCUUCCUGGACCGAUACUGACGCUGAGACGCGAAAGCGUGGGGAGCAAACA